rnacentral:rRNA from 1 species
AUCUUGGUUCAGGACGAACGCUGGCGGCGUGCCUAAUACAUGCAAGUCGAACGGUCUUUCUAUGGAAGCUUGCCUCCACUGAGAAGAUAGUGGCGAACGGGUGAGUAACACGUGGGUAACCUGCCCAUAAGAGGGGGGAUAACAUCCGGAAACGGGUGCUAAUACCGCAUAGUUUUCUUGAUCGCAUGAUCGGGAAAGGAAAGACGGCCUUUGUGCUGUCGCUUAUGGAUGGACCCGCGGCGUAUUAGUUAGUUGGUGAGGUAACGGCUCACCAAGACGAUGAUACGUAGCCGACCUGAGAGGGUGAUCGGCCACAUUGGGACUGAGACACGGCCCAAACUCCUACGGGAGGCAGCAGUAGGGAAUCUUCCGCAAUGGACGAAAGUCUGACGGAGCAACGCCGCGUGAGUGAAGAAAGGGUUUUCGGAUCGUAAAACUCUGUUGUCAGAGAAGAACAAGUUGGAGAGUAACUGCUCCAGCCUUGACGGUAUCUGACCAGAAAGCCACGGCUAACUACGUGCCAGCCGCUGC